rnacentral:lncRNA from 1 species
AAAAGAUACUCCGCAUCAUGAUCGUGAGGGAGAAAUGCCAAUCUGAACUUUACACUCACUCUCAUGGCUAUAAUGAGAAAGAUGGGCAAUUUGGUGAGGAUGUGGAGAGAUCAGAAUCUUUGUGCAUUGAAUGGGAUUAUAAAACGGCCCAACCACCUUUUAAGUGGUUUGGCAAUUCCUCAAAAUGUUGACCACAGAAUUAUCAUAGGAGCCCCAAUAAUUCCACCUCUAGGUAUCUAAGAGAAAUAAAAACAUGUUAACCCCAAACAUGUACCUCCAGGUUCACAGAAGCAUUAUUCAUCCUAGUCAGAGAGUAGAACAACCUGUCAAUCAACCGAAGAACAGAUAAACAAAAACCUGCUAUGUCCACAAAAUAGAAUAUUAUUGGGCCAAGAAUGAAGUACUGAUAUGUGUUGUGGAUGAUCUCUUAAAACAUGCAGAAAUAGCAGGUCAUGAUGCACCACAUACUGUGAUUCCAUUGAUAUAAAUGUCCCAAAUAGGAAAAUCUAUGGAGAUAGAAAGAUUAGUGGUAGCCUAGCUUUUGGGUGGGGAUUGAAUUCUCAAGGCUUCUUUUGGGGAUGAUGGAAAUAUUCUUUUUUCUUUUUUUAAGAGAGAGAGAGAGAGAGAGAGAGAGAGAGAGAGAGAGAGAAAUAGAGAAUUUUUUUUUUAAUAUUUAUUUUUUAGUUCUCGGCAGACACAGCAUCUUUGUCUGUAUGUGGUGCUGAGGAUCGAACCCGGGCUGCACGCACGCCAGGCGAGCGCGCUACUGCUUGAGCCACAUCCCCAGCCCGGGAUGAUGGAAAUAUUCUAAAAUUAGAUUACGGUGAUGGUUGCACAACUCUGUAAAUAUGCUAUAAAACAUGGAAUCUUAAGCUUUAAAUAGGUGAGCUUCAUAGCCUGUAAAGUGCGUGUCGAUGAAGCUGUUUAUCCCAGAGAAGGCAGGCACUGGGCAGAUGAAGGAGGGAGGAAAGACUUUCUAUUUUUUUCCCCUCUCCUUUCCAGGUUUCAAAUCCCAUGACUAAUACCAUCUAUUCAAAAGCAAAUUUAAAACCAAAGAAUCCAGCAAAAAAAAAAAAAAAAUUUUUUUAAAGGCCUCUGAUUCUCCCCCCCCCCCGUUUGGGGUGGGGAAGAUGAGAGGGAGGGACCUGCCACCCACCCCGGUCACGCUGUGAAGCAAUGGCUGAGUGCACAACAGAUUCGUGGGACAAGGGCAGCCUUAGAGAGGUUCCAAGACCCAUCCGUGCCCUGGAAGCCACUAAAGCCACUGGACUGGAC